rnacentral:lncRNA from 1 species
AUGGCCAGUGGGAGUGGACACAGAGCACUUGUCUUGGUUCCUCUCAGAGCCCAAGGCCAGCGCAGGACCGUCGACCAGAGGCCACACGGUUGUAUUCCAGGAAGCCCAGGUCCGGUCCCCAGUAGCAGACAGAAUGGCAGAACAGGGGCGCCUGAGGACAGCCCUCCAGGGGAUGAAGGUCCUGCAGCCGCGACUCCUCCUGCUGCAGCCCUGUCCUGGGCCCCGACUCCAGCACUCAGUGCUUGCUCUAGACCGAGUGGCUGCCUGAGCUGUUCAGCUGAAGGACCUCAGAGAGGUCACCUCCUCCCAGGCAUGAAUGCCUGAGCUCAGGCCCAUCCCGAAGGCCCCUCGGCCACUCCGGACACACAAGAGGCCAACAGGUCCAGGGGAGGCCCCUCAUUCCAGGAGAGCCGGCGGCCAUCUCAACACCUCUAUUGCCCCCGAAAUCUUCAUUUAAAUCAGUUGCUAUUAUUUCGACUUAAAUAACUUACCUUUUAAAGGAAAUUAUAUCACAGCCAAAGGUCAUGGUUUGAUGAACAAAUUUUGCUUCUUUUUUCUAAUCCACAAUGUGAGUGACAACUGUUUACAAAGUUUUGAAAUUAACAUGUAAACAUAAUCUUAAGACUAAAAAUGAAUAGUGAAACUUUAAGUAUAAAAGUUUACCAGGAACAUGAGAGUAAUGCAUUAAUUAUUUUUUCCAAUUCCUAGUAAAUACUUGAUUUAAAAAAAAAAAAAAAAGCAUUUGAUCUGGGCUGUGCCUGUGGCUCAGCAGUAGAGUGCUCGCCUAGCAUGCGCAAGGCCCUGGGUUCGAUCCUCAGCACCACAUAAAAAUAAAUAAACAAAAUAAAGGUAUUGUGUACA